GGCCCCCUAGUUCAAUGGAUAGAAUUUUAGAUUCCGGUUCUGAAGAUAUGGGUUCGAAUCCCGUGGGGGUCA
rnacentral:tRNA from 1 species